GGAUGUGAGGGUGAUCUGGCUGCGACAUCUGUCACCCCGUUGAUCGCCAGGGUUGAUUCGGCUGAUCUGGCUGGCUAGGCGGGUGUCCCCUUCCUCCCUCACCGCUCCAUGUGCGUCCCUCCCGAAGCUGUGCGCUCGGUCGAAGAGGACGACCAUCCCCGAUAGAGGAGGACCAUUCUUCGGUCAAGGGUAUACGAGUAGCUGCGCUCCCCUGCUAGAACCUCCAAACAAGCUCUCAAGGUGUCAGCAGUGCCAUCCUCCCUCUAAAGGCUAUAGGGAAGAAUCCUUCCUU
rnacentral:sRNA from 1 species